UGUUCAAACCACUUCACUAGAUUUCCACCUUCAAGUGCUUCUGAUCUCCAAAAUUUCUCAUUAUUUGUGAGUUCUAUUUCUCAUCAAAUUCAUGCCAUAUAGUAUGGUGUCCCAAAAUCUAUUUUUCCCCCUUUAGAAGUCCAGUGCCUAUUCAGACUUAAAAAAAAAAAAAAAAAACAAAAACAAAAAAAAAAAAAAAAAAAAAAAAAAAAAACAACAACAACAACAACAGUGCUCGAGUAAUAGUUUUGAUUACAUUAAUGGAGCACUUGUGUCAACUGGAAUCAAUGUGAGAAUAUUGCAGGCAAAUCUGAUUUAUAAGUGUGAUAAAGACACCUGACAACUCCCCAUGUGCCAUCUGCAGAAGGUACGCAAAAAAGUAAAGUAACUUUUAUUUUUCGAUCUGACCCUCUGUAACAUGUUUCACACGUUUAUUAUUCUAAGGCUGUACAAAACAUUAUUAAGUACGUUGGUAACAUUACAGAGGUAUGGGCAUAAAUGCAAGCUGGUAUUUUUUAUUUACUUUCUUACUCACCAUAAAGCUAAUCAUGGCUUACCAUAAA